GAGCACUGCCCCUCCUGCUGGUCCCAGAUCCAUCCAGUCCAGAGUGUGUGCACCAACCCUGUGACUCUCUCCAACUCACUGCCUGAGUACAAAGGAAGAGACCAGGACAGCAGCAGAAAGGAGUGCUGCUUAUGUGGCUCUUCCCAGGAGUGGGAGCCUCCCAGACCAGGAAUGUAAAACCAUUUUGCAGAUGAAGCCAGAGAGGUUAUGAAACAGACCCAAGUGGGCUCGCUCUUCAGUCUUGCUGUCCAGAGUCUGGAACGUGGGCCCGUGUGUGGAACUGCUGUGCCCAGGAAGCUUGCCUGGAAAUCAGAACCUGUGACUGAUCUUAUUUAGAAGAAGAGCUUUGAAGCUGUCAUUAAGGAUCUGAGGAUCUGGAAAUGAGAACAUUGGUGGACCCCAAAUCCAAGGUACCACUGGGCUUUCUUGGCUGAGGUCCCUGAAGAGGAAAAAAGUGUUUUCCAGCUGGGCCACCACCUGUGACAAGUUGUCAUUUGCAUGGAGUGGGGAUUCUGUUCUGGGUUAGAUACCCAGGAGUGGGAACACUGGGUUGUAUGAGAGCAGAUUUGAUUCUGCACUGUUUUACCUGGGUAAGUUAAACCUCUGUGGAUCUCAAUCUCCCAUUGAGUAUGUGCUCAAUAAAUAUUGCCUUUUGCUUUUGGGCUGGAUUUUAUUUCAUCUGUAUCUGUGGCCAUGUUUUCACCUGCAGCAGGGGAGCUGUCCGCCAGUGUUGUUGCAGGAGGUGAGGUGUGAGGAUUUCCUUGAACCCCCUUUCUGGGGCCAGAGAUUGGACUCUUGGGGAAUUCAUUAUCAAGUCUGGUAGUAGACAGAGGUCCUCUCUGCAGAAAAAAGCAUUAGUUAGGAUGCUCCAGUCCCUUUAUUCCACAGAAGGAGAAAGUAAGGCUUAGAAAAGGACAGAGUCUUGCCCAAGGCCACUGAGCCAGACAGUGGCAGAGAAACGGUUGGUCCCAGAGCUCCUGACUUGCCAGCCCCAUGUACCUCCACCUUGAUUCCAGUGGCUAGUGUUUGUGCAAUGACUGAAUGAACGAGUGAGAACAAUGAAUGUUCCUAACACAUUAGGAACACAAGCUCUGGAGCCAGCCUGCCAGAGUUUCACAUCAGGUUCUUCCUUGCACAAGCUGUGUGAUUUUGAGCACAUUCUUUGACCUCUCUGAAUCUCAGUUUCUUCAUCUAUCAAAUGGGUACAAUCAUUAUGUCUAUUGUACAGGGUGAUCAGGAGGCUUAAAUGAGGUAAUGUAUGCAAAGACUUACAACAGUUCCAGGCACACAGUAAGUGGUGAAUUAAAGCUAACUUUGGCCAGGUACAGUAACUCAAACCUGUAAUCCCAGUGCUUUGGGAGAAGAAGGAGGGAGGAUUGCUUCAGCCCCAGAGUUUGAGACCAGCCCAGGCACCACAGUGAU